UUUCCCUAACGAGAUUUCCAUGAGAUGAAACAAGGAAGAAACAUUGAGAGGAACCAGACUUUGAAGGGAACCCACCCUUAUUUGGGUGACAGUUUAAUAAUGUCCUUUCCUCAACAGUUUGUAGUGGAAUUAAGCAACCAAGAGCUGCACUGCACUAACCUCACUGUACAUAUGUUUACAUAUAUAUCUAUAUAUAUAUAUAUUACAUGCUGUACAUAUACUACAUAUAUAUCUGCACUUGUCUAUUUGCACAAUUGCUUCUCUUUGCACUUCUGUUAGAUGCCAAACUGAAUUUCGUUGCUGUGUAGCUGUAUUAUGCAAUGACAAUAAAGUUCUAUCUGUCUAUCUAUCUAUCUAUCUAUCUAUCUAUCUAUCUAUCUAUCUAUCUAUCUAUCUAUCUAUCUAUCUAUCUAUCUGUCUAUAAUAACAAAGAUGAAAUGCAGCUUAAACUGUACGUCCACAAGAAUUACUAAAACAAGACUUAAAUCGUAUUAAACUUAAUGAAGACAAAAGGUGGAUGAGUUCAAAACAGUCUUUUUUAUUUCAAAUUCAAUGAGCUUACAAAUCUCAAAGCAGACCGGUGACACAUCAUGCAAACAGUUAGAGCUGCGUGGGCGGCGUCCACUUCCUUUACACUCAGUCUUCUGAUGUUGAGCUUUCCAUUCGCUUUGUCGUUGUUGCUUUAGCAUUGACAUUGUGGGUUUUUUUUCUCCUCAAAUUUAGUUGUUCAAUCAAACAAAUAAACAAAACUCGAUGGGAUGGAACAGAAUCAGAUCAAUAAUAUGGCUGCUGUUUCACUUCGAACAAACCUAAAAGAGAGGAAACUCUAAAGAACAUCCAAGACAACAGCUAUAUGUAAAUGAACACAUUAAAAACAUGUUUUUUCAUCA